rnacentral:rRNA from 1 species
CAGUCGCCACGGUAAUACGAAGGGGGCUAGCGUUGUUCGGAUUUACUGGGCGUAAAGGGCGCGUAGGCGGGCGAAUAAGUCAGGGGUGAAAUCCCAAGGCUCAACCUUGGAACUGCCUUUGAUACUGUUUGUCUUGAGUUCGAGAGAGGUAAGUGGAACUGCGAGUGUAGAGGUGAAAUUCGUAGAUAUUCGCAAGAACACCAGUGGCGAAGGCGGCUUACUGGCUCGAAACUGACGCGGAGGCGCGAAAGCGUGGGGAGCAAACAGGAUUAGAUACCCCUGUAGUCCCUGUCUCUUAUAC